CAAAAGUGAAAGCUACAAUAGAUGCUGAAAUCAAACAAUGGCAAGAGAAGAAACAAAAUAAAAUGUCCUAGGUUUGAAUCUGGUGAAGUUGUUACCUUAUCUGAUUGCGCCUGUUAAUGAGACCAAGUUAGUGGACAGGCAAACUACUUGUGUGCACAUUGUCACUCAGUUAUUCUGCUGGACUGGACUGGUUAUAGGCCAUGGAGUUUUUGAGGUGACAUUUGCGCCAUUUUAUGAUCCUUAAAUCUUCGUCUUAUAUUUUUUUUCUGUUUUUAUAUAGUCUUGUUUAUUUAAUUUUGUAGAAACGAGCACCUGCUCUGUUGGACAAUUUUUCUGAAGCAUUCCUUAUGGAACCCUUCUUUGUACUCUUAGAGGUAAAUCUACUAGUUUUGUGUUAAAUAGGAAAUGUUUUCACGAGAUUGAUUUAAUCUAUCUUUUCUUGACUUGCAGGCUCUCUGGACAUUUACUGGCGACGAACCAUAUCCUGGAUUUCAUGCAAAAGUGAAAGCUACAAUAGAUGCUGAAAUCAAACAAUGGCAAGAGAAGAAACAAAAUAAAAUGUCCUAGGUUUGAAUCUGGUGAAGUUGUUACCUUAUCUGAUUGCGCCUGUUAAUGAGACCAAGUUAGUGGACAGGCAAACUACUUGUGUGCACAUUAGCUUAGGUUUGUGUAACUCCUUUGCAAAACCAAUCCUUUAUUCUUAAUGUAAAGAUGGGUCUUUUGUAUUUUGUUGGAAUUAUUCAUUUUACUAGAAUAUAAAGGAACUUUUGAGAAAGGGAGCCUUGGCGUAACUGGUAAAUUUGCUGCCAUGUGACUAGGAGGUCACGGGUUCGAGCCGUGAAAACAACCUCUUCCAAAAAUACAAGGUUAGGCUGCGUACUAUAGAUCCUUAUAGUCUGAUCCUUCCCAAGACCCUGCGCAUAGUGGGAAUUUAGUACACU
rnacentral:lncRNA from 1 species